UUUGGUGGUACCUCUAGCUAUUACAGGAAAGUAAGGCUAUAUGUGUCCUCCUACAUAACCGCACCACCUCGUGGUGUGUUACUAUAAAAGCAAAUCUAAAACAGUUAUCUAUAUGACAAGUUUAUUAGCAAGCAGGGCUUCUGGAAAGCUUGGAGAAGUUCUUUCUCUGCUCCUAAGUAACCCCACAAACACCUUGACUAAAAAGUUCACAGUGAAGCAGAAGCAGUGAUAUUCUGAAAGCAGAAUUAAGAAACCUAAUUGCUUGGUUGGAUCAGGCCACAGUCAUAAACGUGUGUGGAGUGCUGGAGGGGGAAGGUACAGGGGCAAGGAGAUCUCUAGACCUGAGAUACUAUAAAAAGUCAUUAUUUUGCAGGAUCUGCCAGAUUCUUACACCUCAUUUCAUGCAUUUUGCCUCUAAAAGUCUAGACAACCACCUACUUUUCAGGCUGCAUUCAUCAGUGAAAAAUUACUAAUAUCCCUUAUGCUGAUGAACACUCUGGCGUAUAUUUAGAUAAGUGUUUAAAGCAUCUUCCUAGCCACCUGAUUGAGGUGCUUCAAAUACUAACUUACCCCCAGAACAAGAUUGAAGUUAAAUUACACAGCACACAUCCAUUACACAGUUUAUAUUUGAAGUAUUUUAAAGUAAAUUAUUGCAUAAUAAGUAACAGUCAGCAAUAAAUUCUCCCAUCUUUUGCAUUACUUUUUUUAAAAUCUGAUUGAAAUGGACUAUUGGCCUCUAUCUAUUCUGUGCAUUGAACACUUAAAGGCAUGAUGGGGCUGGGUUCCGUGGCUUACACUGUAAUCCGAGCACUUUGAGAGGCCAAACUCCGCUCCCGCUCUUUCUUCUCUGCUGUGACACCCUCCAAGGCUGCAACUUUCAUCCGUAAUGGAUUCGUUUACACUUGGUCAAGGCUCUCGACAACAGUGGGACCAAAACCCAGAGGUUCACAGAAACUACAAUAGUCACCGUGAGUCAGGCCAGUCUGCCCAGAGGAUGGCCUGCAGGACUGCCCACAGCAUUUGGAGGCCAGGCCUCAGCUGCAUCUCUGAAGCCCAGGCAAAGGCGGCCCUGGGGAAGGUGGAACACCAGCAUUUCUACUGAUGCUCUGGGGUCCUGCAGAACCCUGACUGUGCCACAGACCUUCUGUACCGUGUCCAUUUCCAUAUAAUCUAAUAAAUCCUUCUUACAAAGGAA
rnacentral:lncRNA from 10 species